UUUUAAUUAAUUGAUGUGAUUAAAUAUCAUGGCAUAUACGUGGUCUAUUCUGCUACUUCUAGAUCAUGUUCUGAUCACACUCCUGGUAAGAAAUUCCUAUAAAGGAAAGGGAAGCGAGAUGUCUACUGCUGAGCAUUGCAGCAUGCAGCAGCAUAUGAAGGUGAUAAUGGAGUGACAGCUCUGUAACUGCAAAGGUCUCAUCAAGUCUUUUUUAAAUACAGACCUCUUCAGUGCACUGGGAACUUCUUGUUAGCUAUGGUGACACCUGCAACUUUGCCAUUUUCUUUUGUAGAUAUCCUGCCUUUUGAAUGUGUGGUAAAUACAGAAAAAAAAAGCUCCUCCAAUGUUGUUUCCUGCAAAGACCAUUCUUAAGAGCUCGUUGGACAGCGCAGGGCUCUUGAAGUGAUAGCUAAUUGGUGAAAGAAAGGCC